CAAAAAGUAGCUUAUAGCAAAGCCUCUCGCUUACAUCGAGAAGAUGUCUGCUCAACCAGACCAUUUUGA
rnacentral:tRNA from 1 species